rnacentral:rRNA from 1 species
GACGAACGCUGGCGGCGUGCUUAACACAUGCAAGUCGAACGAAGAGCGAUGGACGCUUGCUUCUAUCAAUCUUAGUGGCGAACGGGUGAGUAACGCGUAAUCAACCUGCCCUUCAGAGGGGGACAACAGUUGGAAACGACUGCUAAUACCGCAUACGAUCUAAUCUCGGCAUCGAGGAUAGAUGAAAGGUGGCCUCUACAUGUAAGCUAUCACUGAAGGAGGGGAUUGCGUCUGAUUAGCUAGUUGGAGGGGUAACGGCCCACCAAGGCGAUGAUCAGUAGCCGGUCUGAGAGGAUGAACGGCCACAUUGGGACUGAGACACGGCCCAGACUCCUACGGGAGGCAGCAGUGGGGAAUCUUCCGCAAUGGACGAAAGUCUGACGGAGCAACGCCGCGUGAGUGAGGACGGCCGUCGGGUUGUAAAGCUCUGUUAAUCGGGACGAAAGGCCUUCUUGCGAAUAGUGAGAAGGAUUGACGGUACCGGAAGAGAAAGCCACGGCUAACUACGUG